GACGAACGCUGGCGGCGUGCUUAACACAUGCAAGUCGAACGGUGAAGGGGCCUGCUUUUGUGGGCCCUGGAUGAGUGGCGUACGGGUGAGUAACACGUGAGUAACCUGCCCCCUUCUUCUGGAUAACCGCAUGAAAGUGUGGCUAAUACGGGAUAUUCUGGGUCUGUCGCAUGAUGGGUCUGGGAAAGAUUGCGCCUUUGGGUGUUUUUGGUGGGGGAUGGGCUCGCGGCCUAUCAGCUUGUUGGUGGGGUGAUGGCCUACCAAGGCGGUGACGGGUAGCCGGCCUGAGAGGGUGGACGGUCACACUGGGACUGAGACACGGCCCAGACUCCUACGGGAGGCAGCAGUGGGGAAUAUUGCACAAUGGGCGCAAGCCUGAUGCAGCGACGCCGCGUGAGGGAGGGAGGCCUUCGGGUUGUAAACCUCUUUCGCCAGUGAAGCAGGCCUGCUCCUUGUGGGUGGGUUGACGGUAGCUGGAGAAGAAGCGCCGGCUAACUACGUG
rnacentral:rRNA from 1 species